AUGUUGUAAGGAGGACACUUUCUCAACAAUUCUUUAAACCUCUCACGUGUAUCAUAUAAUGAUUCCCCAUCAGUCUGGAAGAAGUUAUUGAUCUCUCAUCUUAACAU